UCUCCCUUGCCGAAAGCGAGAGCCUCGUGGUGUUUGCGGCUGUUCCAGCCAGGCUGGAAGCGGAUCCGGGCAGCGAUUGAGUCGCUCUCAAGGUCACACGGGGAAUCUGCCAAGAACAGCACCCCGACUCUCUCGGCUCUCUCAAGCCCACCCUCAACACUCCAGCCUCCUUUCCUUGGGUUAUGAACCUUUCUGCAGCAAGAUUUGAAGCAGCCAGAUUCCAGCUUAGAUCAAAGUCUCUAGGAUUCACUUGUGAUUUCUGCUGUAUCAUACAUCUGUGUUCUUGCUGCUGGCUCCUGUAGCACGUUCCCUGCUUUGGUCUUCCCAUCCCUGCCCGGGCUCUUCUUCUGCAGGCAGCUGCUGGGGGUCGGCAAAGGCAUAGGACAGGUACACUCACCUGUCUGACUGACAGCACUUCCCAAAGAUUCACUCUCCAGCCCUGGAACCUGCUUUGCCAGCCCGGGGAGCAUGGCCAUGGUGUGGGGUGAGUGAUGCAGAGAAGUCACUGCCUCUGGUGGUUCUGGGUGUUGUUGGUAUCACGUGAACUCUGCAGUGGGGGGGAAGGACCUGGGCUUUUGAUUUCUGAAGGCUAUUGCUCUGAUAAAUAAAGAAAAUAUUU